AUAAAAUUAUCUGAACUCUAACACUUGGACAGGAUAAUUGAGAAGAACCGGACAAGAUACAGAAGCCACAGAAUUUUAAAGCAUUGUUUCAGCCUUGCCUUCAUCUCCAGGCAUCUACAAUUGGGAUAAUGCUUAUCAAAUAUUUGAGCUUCUGCUGUCAAAGCAUACAAGUUCAUCUCAGCAACGGUAUCCAACAGUAAUAGAAGAUCUGUGCCAUCAAUUUUCACGACCAAAUAGUUGGAAGCGGAGACCUUCAUACUGUAUAUAAAGGUUCUGUUCAACACAAUGGUGUCACCAAGCGAACCAUCUUAUAUCGUGACGUAACACCUUAUAAAAUUCUUUGGGAUGGCAACAAUAUGGCCAAACUCUCAGACUUCCAGCUUUCCUUAAGAGGACCGCAUUCUGCGUCAAAGCCAAAACCAAAGACAAUAUCAAAAGAAGGCUUUGUAGUGCUGCAAAUGUAUCUGCUCAAGUGAACAGUAUCCCUAUGCUGAAUGGGACAAAUUUUAAGGUCUGGAAGGAAGUCGUAAAAAUUGUUCUCGGCUGUAUGGAUUUGGAUUUGGCAUUGAGAACAGAACGACCCACUUUCACUCCGGAAGGGAAAAUUUGUGAAAUGGGAUUGUUCCAAUCGAAUAUGCAUUAUGAUUAUGAAGUGCUCUAUUCCAGAAGAGUUUCGGAACUUUAUUUCUGAGGGUGAAAAUGCAAAGAAAUUUAUUGAUGAAAUUGAACAGUACUUUGCCAAAAAUGAGAAGGCGAAGACGAGUAACCUUUUGGCUAAACUCAUCUCCAUGAAGUAUAAGGGCAAAAGUAAUAUAAGGGAGUACAUAAUGGAAAUGUCUAACUUGGCAUCUAAACUGAAAGCACUUAAGUUAGAGCUUAGUGAAGACCUGCUCAUGCAUUUUGUUUUGAUCUCAGUGCCUACACACUUUGGGCAAUUCAAAGUGAGUUAUAACACUCAGAAGGACAAAUGAUCCCUUAAUGAGCUUAUAUCUCACUGUGUGUAAGAGAAGGAGAGGCUACAGAGAGACAGAUCUGAAAGUGCUCAUGUAAGCUCCACCUCUCAAAAUAGGAAAAGAAAGAAAACUAAGGGUGCUGCUAAAGGGUCUUCUAAGCAAAAGAAACCAAAGAAGGAUGAGGAAUUUACCUACUACUUCUGCAAGAAGUUUGGACACAUGAAGAAAGAGUGUCCCAAGUACACCACAUGGCGUGUAAAGAAAGGUAAAUCUCUUGCUCUUGGUGGGUAGAUUUUGGUGCUACUACUCACAUAAGUGUAACCAUGUAGGGUUGCCUGUGGAGCCGACUACCAAGUGAUGAUGAAAGAUUCAUAUUUGUUGGCGAUGGCAAAAAGGUUGUGGUGGAGGCUAUAGGAACUUUUAGAUUGCAGUUAAAGACUGGAUUUUAUUUAUAUUUGUUUGAGACUUUUGUUGUACCGCCUUUUAGACGGAAUUUAAUUUCUAUUUCUA